rnacentral:rRNA from 1 species
AUGUCUGGGAAACUGCCUGAUGGAGGGGGAUAACUACUGGAAACGGUAGCUAAUACCGCAUAACGUCGCAAGACCAAAGUGGGGGACCUUCGGGCCUCAUGCCAUCAGAUGUGCCCAGAUGGGAUUAGCUAGUAGGUGGGGUAAUGGCUCACCUAGGCGACGAUCCCUAGCUGGUCUGAGAGGAUGACCAGCCACACUGGAACUGAGACACGGUCCAGACUCCUACGGGAGGCAGCAGUGGGGAAUAUUGCACAAUGGGCGCAAGCCUGAUGCAGCCAUGCCGCGUGUAUGAAGAAGGCCUUCGGGUUGUAAAGUACUUUCAGCGAGGAGGAAGGCGUUAAGGUUAAUAACCUUGGCGAUUGACGUUACUCGCAGAAGAAGCACCGGCUAACUCCGUGCCAGCAGCCGCGGUAAUACGGAGGGUGCAAGCGUUAAUCGGAAUUACUGGGCGUAAAGCGCACGCAGGCGGUCUGUUAAGUCAGAUGUGAAAUCCCCGGGCUCAACCUGGGAACUGCAUUUGAAACUGGCAGGCUUGAGUCUUGUAGA